UGGGGAAUCUUGCGCAAUGGGCGAAAGCCUGACGCAGCGACGCCGCGUGGGUGAUGAAGGCCUUCGGGUUGUAAAGCCCUGUGGAGCGGGACGAAAGCUUCGGGAUGAAUAAUCCCGGGGGGUGACGGUACCGCUUUAGCAAGCACCGGCUAACUCUGUGCCAGCAGCCGCGGUAAUACAGAGGGUGCAAACGUUGCUCGGAAUUACUGGGCGUAAAGCGCGUGUAGGUGGUUUCGCAAGUCAGGUGUGAAAGCCCGAGGCUCAACCUCGGAAGUGCACUUGAUACUACGGAGCUGGAGUCUUGGAGAGGAGAGCGGAAUUCCCGGUGUAGAGGUGAAAUUCGUAGAUAUCGGGAGGAACACCAGUGGCGAAGGCGGCUCUCUGGACAAGUACUGACACU
rnacentral:rRNA from 1 species